UAUGUGCACAGUAUUCAGAUAUAUUCU
rnacentral:sRNA from 1 species